UACGGAGGGUGCGAGCGUUAAUCGGAAUAACUGGGCGUAAAGCGCGCGUAGGUGGUUGAGUCAGUCAGAUGUGAAAGCCCCGGGCUUAACCUGGGAACUGCACCUGAUACUGCUUGACUAGAGUACGGUAGAGGGCAGUGGAAUUUCCUGUGUAGCGGUGAAAUGCGUAGAUAUAGGAAGGAACACCAGUGGCGAAGGCGACUGCCUGGACUGAUACUGACACUGAGGGACGAAAGCUAGGGUCACGAACCGG
rnacentral:misc_RNA from 1 species